UAUGUAAGCCGGAGGAGAAAAAGAGAUGCAAUUUCAAGGAGCUAAAAAUAUAAACAACGGAUUGUACCCAAAAGCAGAACGCAAGGCUGAAAUGUUAUUCUGUACAACAAACAAAAAAAAAUCAUAUAUAUUUAUCUACUUCAUCGGGCAGUGGGAAAUGCUCUAUGACUGCAGGCUGAUGGAUAAAAUCUCACAUGACCUUCCAGUAGCAUUUUAAGUACAUCAAUACUUCUUGCAUUUUAUGCAU